GCUUGGAGCCGCAGGGCUUAAUCCCGCGCGGCUCAGAGAUGGGUUUCUGGACUCGCGAAGCAGCUGCAACAAGGCAUCACUCACUGUAUAAGUAUUUCCAUUUCUGAGAGCAAAAGGAAGAACUUAAGCGGGCGGCACUUGGAGUGUAAAUUGCUUUGUAGUAUUUAAAGGCAGAAUGGAUCCUGGGCAGCCGAGCUGCAACAAACCGGCAGGACUUCCUGUGAAAUCAUGACCACCAUGUGCUCUUUCAGCCUCUAUCAGUUCCUACCUCUAAGCACCUGAGAGCCAAAGCAAACCACAGGAAACCACAGACUCAAACUAAACGUCAGCUUUUCCCGGCUCUCAAGCCUGCUGGUCCCUGAACUAAAACUCACAUUAUCAACUCUACUGGUUCUUAGGCCUUUGGAGUCAGACUGGAACUACAGCAUUGACUCUUCCGGAACUCCAGCUUACUGACUACAGAUCUUGGAACUUUUCAGCUUCCACAACCAUAAUGAAAGCCAAGCAUAUUCCAUCAUUUCCUAAAACCAAGAUAGAGCACAUAUGGGAACUUGUGAAAUAAG
rnacentral:lncRNA from 10 species